rnacentral:lncRNA from 1 species
CAUUACAUUCCUGCAUAUAUGUGCUGCGGAGCUUUAUGUCGUGAAGGUUGAACCGAAUGAAUCUAGAUCGAAUACAUCGUUUUGUCGGUGCAUAACGUGUAUUUAUACUGACAUUGCUGGGCUUGGACAGUGCUGUAUUGUGACCAGCCAAUCACUGCAGUGAUCCAAAGAUAAUAAGUAAGUUUUAGAUCAUCAUUGCAAUCUGUACGGGAUCCACUUUACGGUAGUACCUCAAAGCUGUAAGCAUGGCUGAAAAGGUUAUUCCUGCCGAAAUCAUCAAGGUGAGGGGUGGCUGGCUUACGCUUUCCCCAGAUAUGCUUUAGAAAAAGUUAUAUGACCAGAAAAUCUUCAAGCUGUCUCAUAUGCUGUGUGCGUGAUAAACGUGAGAAUGCACGGUGGACAUGUACAGGAGCUCAAGGAAGUUGUGAAGGAGUAUCCUUAUGAAGCCACAUCGGAAGACGCCGCUGCUCUUGGAGGCUGCUACCUUGGUGUCAGCUC